CUUGGUCAUUUAGAGGAAGUAAAAGUCGUAACAAGGUCUCCGUUGGUGAGCCAGCGGAGGGAUCAUUACCGAGUACUAUAACUCAUAACCCUUUGUGAACCUUUAUACCUGUUGCUUCGGCGGCGCGCCUCCCGGGGCGUGCCCGCCGGCAUUAUCAGAAUCUCUGUUCGAACCCGACGAUACAUCUGAGUGUUCUAAGCGAACUGUUAAAACUUUCAACAACGGAUCUCUUGGCUCCAGCAUCGAUGAAGAACGCAGCGAAACGCGAUAUGUAAUGUGAAUUGCAGAAUUCAGUGAAUCAUCGAAUCUUUGAACGCACAUGGCGCCUUCCAGUAUCCUGGGAGGCAUGCCUGUCCGAGCGUCGUUUCAACCCUCGAGCCCCCGUGGCCCGGCGUUGGGGAUCUGCCCAGGCAGUCCCCGAAAACCAGUGGCGGACCCGUUGGGCCCUUCCUUUGCGUAGUAACAUCUGCCUCGCAUCGGGAGCCUGCGGGCUAUCCGGCCUCUAAACCCCCCUCAAGCCCGCUCCGGCGGCACCAAGGUUGACCUCGGAUCAGGUAGGAAUACCCGCUGAACUUAAGCAUAUCAAUAAGCGGAGGAAAAGAAACCAACAGGGAUUGCCUCAGUAACGGCGAGUGAAGCGGCAACAGCUCAAAUUUGAAAUCUGGCUCCUUCGGGGCCCGAGUUGUAAUUUGCAGAGGAUGCUUCGGGUACGGGUUCCUUCCGAGUUCCCUGGAACGGGACGCCAUAGAGGGUGAGAGCCCCGUCUGGUAGGACACCCAGCCCGUGUGAAGCUCCCUCGACGAGUCGAGUUGUUUGGGAAU
rnacentral:sRNA from 1 species